GGCUCACUGAAGACGACAGCGGUAUAUCUGACAGAGGAAACGGUAGGAGCACGAAGUUUGUUUCUGUGCUACAUUUGUGUUUCCUUUUCAUGUGUGAGGAUGUAGCUCCGUCCGUCACUCCUGCUCGCUCAGCAGCACCAGAGUUUAUUCCCACGGUGCCCUGUCCAUAGUCAUCGCAGGGUAAGCGGCUGUGAUCUGGCUGCUAACUAUGAGGACAGAUUGAUGAUGUGGAAGCUCCUGCCCUAUGUGACUUUUGUCUUGGAUGUGGCCUCUCAGCAGUUAUGUGUCUCUCAACACAUCAACAUUUGAAACUACACCUAAUAAAGGAGCAAAUGGAGAAAGAGAAUCAAGACUGGAUGUGAUAGUGGCCUAUGCUCAAGUAGUUAUAAUAUUCGUUGCAGCAGUUUUAUUCUUUCUGUGGGGCCUGAAGGAAGCAAUCGAAGCUCCAAAAAUAAGGUGUUACAGAUCAACACCUGGACAGAUGUUCCUUUAUCAAGCUCCUCAAAGUAUCAACAUUUUGUAAAGUGCUUUUGCAAAGUAUGAAUUAAUUUAACUGACAAUUUAACUGCUGAUGAGAGCAGAUAUCUAACUGCAUUUAAACUCACUGAUGAUUUCAUGCAGAAUCUUGUCUUCAGAUUUAGCUCAGAGAGAAAAGGAAGAAAAGACUGAUUGUUGGAUAUGAAAGCUAUCCUCUUCUCUGAUCUGCUGCUCCGACUGCCUUAGUUUCAAUUGUCAGCAAACUCUUAAUUUUCCUUUAAUAUAUAUAUUUUUAGUAGAAUCUCUGCAUUUGAACAUGAGAAGAAACCUCAAUCAGCUUCACCGUGAGCACACACAGAAAUAAUCCAACCACUGUAAAGAGGACUUAUUGUUUUACUGUGUUUAAUAAAUGUCAAC